rnacentral:rRNA from 1 species
GAACGAACGCUGGCGGCGUGCCUAACACAUGCAAGUCGAGCGAGAAAGCCCGCAAGGGUGAGUAAAGCGGCGCACGGGUGCGUAACACGUGGGUAAUCUGCCCUGAAGUCCGGAAUAACUCGCCGAAAGGCGUGCUAAUGCCGGAUAAGACCACGGGAGCUUCGGCUCCUGCGGGAAAAGGUGGCCUCUGUACACAAGCUAUCACUUCAGGAUGAGCCCGCGGCCCAUCAGCUCGUUGGCGGGGUAAUGGCCCACCAAGGCUACGACGGGUAGCUGGUCUGAGAGGACGAUCAGCCACACUGGAACUGAGACACGGUCCAGACUCCUACGGGAGGCAGCAGUGGGGAAUCUUGCGCAAUGGGCGAAAGCCUGACGCAGCAACGCCGCGUGUGUGAUGAAGGUCUUCGGAUCGUAAAGCACUGUCGCGAGGGACGAAUAAGGGGCGGGCUAACAUCCCGUUCCGAUGACGGUACCUCGAGAGGAAGCACCGGCUAACUCUGUGCCAGCAGCCGCGGUAAUACAGAGGGUGCAAGCGUUGUUCGGAAUUAUUGGGCGUAAAGCGCGUGUAGGCGGCUUUGUAAGUUGGGUGUGAAAGCCCUCGGCUUAACCGAGGAAGUGCGCCCAAAACUGCAUGGCUUGAGUACCGGAGAGGGUGGCGGAAUUCCCGGUGUAGAGGUGAAAUUCGUAGAUAUCGGGAGGAACACCAGCGGCGAAGGCGGCCACCUGGACGGAUACUGACGCUGAGACGCGAAAGCGUGGGGAGCAAACAGGAUUAGAUACCCUGGUAGUCCACGCUGUAAACGAUGAGCGCUAGGUGUUGUGGGUGUUGACCCCUGCAGUGCCGCAGCUAACGCAUUAAGCGCUCCGCCUGGGAAGUACGGCCGCAGGGCUAAACUCAAAU